UAAGGAAUAGCAUAAUGGAAGUGCGAAGAGUUUUGAUCUCUUAGGUGUAGGUUCAAUUCCUACUUUUUUAA
rnacentral:tRNA from 1 species